rnacentral:tRNA from 4 species
GGUCACGUAGCUCAGUUGGAUAGAGCAAUUGCCUUCUAAGCAAUCGGUCGCAGGUUCGAAUCCUGCCGUGAUCACAA